GACGAACGCUGGCGGCGUGCUUAACACAUGCAAGUCGAACGAAGAGCGAUGGAAGCUUGCUUCUAUCAAUCUUAGUGGCGAACGGGUGAGUAACGCGUAAUCAACCUGCCCUUCAGAGGGGGACAACAGUUGGAAACGACUGCUAAUACCGCAUACGAUCUAAUCUCGGCAUCGAGGAUAGAUGAAAGGUGGCCUCUACAUGUAAGCUAUCACUGAAGGAGGGGAUUGCGUCUGAUUAGCUAGUUGGAGGGGUAACGGCCCACCAAGGCGAUGAUCAGUAGCCGGUCUGAGAGGAUGAACGGCCACAUUGGGACUGAGACACGGCCCAGACUCCUACGGGAGGCAGCAGUGGGGAAUCUUCCGCAAUGGACGAAAGUCUGACGGAGCAACGCCGCGUGAGCGAUGACGGCCUUCGGGUUGUAAAGCUCUGUUAAUCGGGACGAAUGGUUCUUGUGCAAAUAGUGCGAGGAUUUGACGGUACCGGAAUAGA
rnacentral:rRNA from 1 species